rnacentral:tRNA from 1 species
ACUAAUGUAGUUUAUCAAAAACAUUUGAUUUCGACUCAAAAGAACUGGACAACUCAGCAAUAGU